rnacentral:rRNA from 1 species
AAACUUUCAACAACGGAUCUCUUGGUUCUGGCAUCCAUGAAAAACGCAACCAAAUGCCAUAAAUAAUGGGAAUUGCAAAAUUCCGUGAAUCCUCCAAUCUUUGAACGCACAUUGCGCCCCUUGGUAUUCCCAGGGGCAUGCCUGUUCCAGCGUCAUUU